CUCUUCCGGGGGGGAGGGGCGGCGAGGCGAGGCCUGCGGAGCGGAGGAAGACAAACAUAAAGAUGAAGUGCUUAAUUCAAGGUCACACAAUGUCGGGGAUGGACCUCCAGAUUUCCUUACUGACCUGCAUUAUCUUGUGGAUACCUGAGUGAAUUCCACACCACCCAUUUUAUAGAUGAAACCACUGAGACAUGGAGCAAUUGACUGAGUAGUCACUGCCCCACCCCUGCCUGGAGCCUCACACAUGACUCGCCUCCUCUCAGUGACCACAGGUCACAGAAUUUUCCACACUCCUUGACAGAGGUGCUUAACCCUUAUCCAUCAGCAUUCUCAGACAGCACCUCCGGUUAGGGACAGUAUCUGACCGUCCGACAUCCCUGCAGCCCCCAUGUGUCACACAGACUCAGCCUCAGGUAGAUGGUUUCCGUAGAUGGUGGCUUUCUUUGGACCCUUGACAUCAACCAGUUACUAUUUGGUCUAGGGGUCUCACCAACGCUGCUCAUCUAGCAGGGCCACACAUAACAAAUAGAAGCAGAGCAAGCCCUGGAACUCCUGCCUGACAGUGACACGACGACAGAAACAUCUUACCAGUCAGAGGACCAUGAGAAAUAGAUUCAAGGAGCAUUCCACGUGCAAGUGAGUCUUGGCCCCAUCUGCCUUUGGAUUUUAGCCGUGAACUGGAAGGUAUUGGAAAGAAGACCCUCAGAAAUAGCUUAAUCAAAAUCCCUGCGUCUGAACCAAGUGCCUUAUUUCUCUGUGGGCCUCAAGCUUCGCUGACAUCUGUGGAGCACACUGUCCUAACAGGAGUGCUGUCUGAUUUCCCAACGCUCUGCAAAACAAACAGCCUGGAAGGGUGGCUGGUGGAAGGUGGUUUUUAGAGAGAGACUUGUAGAUAACAGGAAAGUGAAGGCUGUAAGGAAGGUUGUAAUUAAACAGCACAUGGAAACACA
rnacentral:lncRNA from 1 species